AUCACCGCAACACCAAACAGGUGGAAGAGCUCUUACUGCAGUGGUCUCCAUGACAACCCUGGAACUUCAACUUUGAGAAACACGGCUUUCAAAUCAUCCCCGUCGUGAAGUUAGAAACCGCUAGGGCACAGAACAUCUCAUUGCUUCUUGCCUGGGAUCAAAAAUCUGAGUUGAAAAUGCCUUCCAAUGAAAGCUUUCAGGAAACAUCUCUUCCAGCAUCUUCAGUCCUGAGGAAUCUCAUAAAUUGGGGUAAAACCUACAAGGCUGAAACCUAUUAAAAGUGUGCCGUGAACCUGA